rnacentral:rRNA from 1 species
AUUGAACGCUGGCGGCAGGCCUAACACAUGCAAGUCGAGCGGAACGGCGGACGAGGGCGUAAUGCCUAGGAAUCUGCCUGGUCGUGGGGGAUAACGUCCGGCAACGGGCGCUAAUACCGCAUCCUAUCAGCUGAGCCUGGGUCGGAUUAGCUAGUUGGUGGGGUAAAGGCCUACCAGGGCGACGAUCCGUACCUGGUCUGAGAGGAUGAUCAGUAAAACUGGAACGGAGAAACGGUCCAGACUCCUACGGGAGGAAGCAGUGGGGAAUAUUGGACAAUGGGCGAAAGCCUGAUCCAGCCAUGCCGCGUGUGUGAAGAAGGUCUUCGGAUUGUAAAGCACUUUAAGUUGGGAGGCGUUACCAACAGAAGAAGCACCGGCUAACUUCGUGCCAGCAGCCGCGGUAAUUC